rnacentral:rRNA from 1 species
UACGGAGGGGGCGAGCGUUAUUCGGAAUUAUUGGGCGUAAAGAGCUCGUAGGCGGUUUGUCGCGUCUGCUGUGAAAUCCCAGGGCUUAACCCUGGGCCUGCAGUGGGUACGGGCAAACUAGAGUGCGGUAGGGGAGAUCGGAAUUCCUGGUGUAGCGGUGAAAUGCGCAGAUAUCAGGAGGAACACCGGUGGCGAAGGCGGAUCUCUGGGCCGAUACUGACGCUGAGGAGCGAAAGCGUGGGGAGCGAACAGG